CAAAGGCAAGAUUUUGAUUGCAGUAAAUUGCUUGAUUGGAAAGCUCUGCAAUUGUUAUGCUCGUUCUCUUACAUGAGCCUUCCUUUCUUUAAAGCUUAAGUCUAUGUUUGAAUGGAGUCACAGUCACCUCUUACUGCUACAUCCCGACAUCUUCUCUCUAUGCCCAAAGUCUCUUCAAUUUUGUUGUUGUUCUGUUCGGCUGACCUUUUGAAGCUUGCGGUUGGCUAUAGAACAUGAAGAGCAAGGUGAGUUAUCUUAGAGGACACUGUGGUAUAAAUGAAUUUGUUAUAUUACAGCG
rnacentral:lncRNA from 1 species